rnacentral:rRNA from 1 species
AAGGCUACGCCUGCCCAGUGAAUAAUUAAACGGCCGCGGUAUCCUAACCGUGCAAAGGUAGCAUAAUCAUUUGUCUAUUAAUUGUAGACCUGUAUGAAAGGCUAAAUGAGAGUCCAACUGUCUCUUACAACAAAUCAAUAAAACUGAUCUCCUAGUACAAAAGCUAGAAUACUGACAUAAGACCAGAAGACCCUGUGAAGCUUUAAUAAACCCAUUAAACCAAAUAAUGCUUACUUUCGGUUGGGGCGACCUUGGAAUAAAAAAGAACUUCCAACAUAUGACCUCCUCAUAAAACAAGGCAAACAAGCCAACAUUAGAUCCAGCACAGCUGAUAAUUGAAAUAAGUUACUCCAGGGAUAACAGCGCUAUCUUCUUUAAGAGCCCAUAUCAAAAAGAAGGUUUACGACCUCGAUGUUGGAUCAGGACAUCCCAGUAAUGCAACCGUUACUAAAGGUUCGUUUGUUCAACGAUUAACAGUCCUACGUGAUCUGAG